AUCAGAGUAGCCAUGCUUGCGCUCGAACGCGCCCCACAAGCGCCGUUCAACUGGUCGAACUGCUGGCGCGUCAAAACGUCCCCACGUCUAUUGGCUGUUGUAGCUGUCAAUAACACGAAGCUGACCAACGAUGGAGUUCGCUCUGACAAGGUGUCACCCACAUUCAAACGAAUGAAAUUGACGUGCAGCCCAGGUGGGAGAGCAUCACCUGUUUGGUCUCUAGACUCCAGCAUUUCCUCUGAAACGAAGGUGUUAAUAUAAACGACCGCCCAGUUGUCCGGCCAGACACUGAUGGACGACUCACUGUUGAGCUCUCCUGCUACCCGCUUCAGACCAGCAGCCGACGCCCCAGCUACCACCACCUGCCUUGGACUAGCCACCCUACAUUGGUGGAAAGAAGGAGGAAACAGGUUUCCUUAUAUACAAUGAAAAGCUUACUUUGCUCCUCGCUAAGAAUGCCAGA